GGAAGUAAAAGUUGUAACAAGGGCUCCGUAGGUGAACCUGCGGAAGGAUCAUUAAAGUUAUAGUCCCCUGGCCCUCUGGGCUGGGGUCUUCUAUACCACCCUUUGUUUAUUACACCUUUGUUGCUUUGGCAGGCCUGCCCUCGGGCUGCUGGCUCCGGCCGGCUCGCGUCUGCCAGAGGACCUAAACUCUGUUUGUAUAUGAAGUCUGAGUACUAUAUAAUAGUUAAAACUUUCAACAACGGAUCUCUUGGUUCUG
rnacentral:misc_RNA from 1 species